rnacentral:lncRNA from 1 species
CUCACGGAUUCAUUGGGUUCAUAAAUUAUGUAGAGAGAGAAUAUCAAAGGAGAGAAAAAUUGAUGAGGUGGCAUGUGACCAGUCAGACGACAUUGUCCGAUGUCUUGAUUGAUCUAAUCAAGAUGAUUCAAUCAAAUCAUGGUUGAAUUAGUAUAUAGAUGAUUCAAUAAAAAUCAUAGAUGAUCGAAUCUAAUGGUAUCCAGAUC